CAAUAAUAUAAAAAAUAAUAUAUAUAUUGACAUGGAUUAAACAAAGAUAUAUAUUAUUCUAUGUUGUAUAAACAAAUUGGCAAAAUAGAGAUGGAAGAUAAAAAUAUGGUCAAAGUAAUAAGAGUCUAUGGUGAAUGCCUAGGAGCUUUAAGGCGAAGAAGGUCGUGGUAAGCUGCGAAAAGCUUGGGGGAAAAGCAAACAUUUAUUGAUCCCAAGAUUACCGAAUGGAGUAAUCCAGCUAGCAAGAUGCUAGCUAUCUAUUAUCUAAAUAAUAGAGGCGAUACC
rnacentral:misc_RNA from 1 species